rnacentral:rRNA from 1 species
AGUGAACGCUGGCGGUAGGCCUAACACAUGCAAGUCGAACGGCAGCACAGUAAGAGCUCGCUCUUACGGGUGGCGAGUGGCGGACGGGUGAGGAAUACAUCGGAAUCUACUUUUUCGUGGGGGAUAACGUAGGGAAACUUACGCUAAUACCGCAUACGACCUACGGGUGAAAGCAGGGGAUCUUCGGACCUUGCGCGAUUGAAUGAGCCGAUGUCGGAUUAGCUAGUUGGCGGGGUAAAGGCCCACCAAGGCGACGAUCCGUAGCUGGUCUGAGAGGAUGAUCAGCCACACUGGGACUGAGACACGGUCCAGACUCCUACGGGAGGCAGCAGUGGGGAAUAUUGGACAAUGGGCGCAAGCCUGAUCCAGCCAUACCGCGUGGGUGAAGAAGGCCUUCGGGUUGUAAAGCCCUUUUGUUGGGAAAGAAAAGCAGCAGGUUAAUACCCCGCUGUUCUGACGGUACCCAAAGAAUAAGCACCGGCUAACUUCGUG